ACCUGGGGUCCGAACCGACGAACCCGGGGCCACCAAAGCGGAACGUGCGCACUUAACCACUAUGCCACCAGGCCGGCCCUCAAUUUUCUGAUAAUAUAAACUAUCGUAGCUGUUAUAGUAGGAUUAUUUUUGGAAGAUACCAGUGACCACUUUUUUAACAAUAAAUAAUCAACUAAGAGAAUAGUAGCCAAAGUAAGCAAGUAAUAAAAUGUAUUAAAACAGCGAUCAGUUUUGACAUUUAAAUUCCCUGCUGAAGUGUUCAGCCAGCUGCAGGGAGAGACAGCCAGUUCCUACAUAUAAAACAGCAACUGUGGAAAGGCUACUUGUCAACAGGCUAACCUGUUCUUCUCAAGAGCACAUUGUCACCUGACACCAGAAUUCAGAAGUGAAGAAAAAAAGAGGACGAAACAGAUUUGAAAGAUCGCUAUGCACACAGAAAAAAAGAAGCACAGCAGUUGUCCUCUGCUUGAUGGUCAAAAUCUACUGGCUGCGAUGACUAAGGCGCAUCACUUUCCUUGGACUUUGGGAAAAUCUAGUUUCUAGU